GAGUUUGAUCAUGGCUCAGAUUGAACGCUGGCGGCAGGCCUAACACAUGCAAGUCGAACGGUAACAGGAAGCAGCUUGCUGCUUCGCUGACGAGUGGCGGACGGGUGAGUAAUGUCUGGGAAGCUGCCUGAUGGAGGGGGAUAACUACUGGAAACGGUAGCUAAUACCGCAUAAUGUCGCAAGACCAAAGAGGGGGACCUUCGGGCCUCUUGCCAUCGGAUGUGCCCAGAUGGGAUUAGCUUGUUGGUGGGGUAACGGCUCACCAAGGCGACGAUCCCUAGCUGGUCUGAGAGGAUGACCAGCCACACUGGAACUGAGACACGGUCCAGACUCCUACGGGAGGCAGCAGUGGGGAAUAUUGCACAAUGGGCGCAAGCCUGAUGCAGCCAUGCCGCGUGUAUGAAGAAGGCCUUCGGGUUGUAAAGUACUUUCAGCGGGGAGGAAGGGAGUAAAGUUAAUACCUUUGCUCAUUGACGUUACCCGCAGAAGAAGCACCGGCUAACUCCGUGCCAGCAGCCGCGGUAAUACGGAGGGUGCAAGCGUUAAUCGGAAUUACUGGGCGUAAAGCGCACGCAGGCGGUUUGUUAAGUCAGAUGUGAAAUCCCCGGGCUCAACCUGGGAACUGCAUCUGAUACUGGCAAGCUUGAGUCUCGUAGAGGGGGGUAGAAUUCCAGGUGUAGCGGUGAAAUGCGUAGAGAUCUGGAGGAAUACCGGUGGCGAAGGCGGCCCCCUGGACGAAGACUGACGCUCAGGUGCGAAAGCGUGGGGAGCAAACAGGAUUAGAUACCCUGGUAGUCCACGCCGUAAACGAUGUCGACUUGGAGGUUGUGCCCUUGAGGCGUGGCUUCCGGAGCUAACGCGUUAAGUCGACCGCCUGGGGAGUACGGCCGCAAGGUUAAAACUCAAAUGAAUUGACGGGGGCCCGCACAAGCGGUGGAGCAUGUGGUUUAAUUCGAUGCAACGCGAAGAACCUUACCUGGUCUUGACAUCCACGGAAGUUUUCAGAGAUGAGAAUGUGCCUUCGGGAACCGUGAGACAGGUGCUGCAUGGCUGUCGUCAGCUCGUGUUGUGAAAAGUUGGGUUAAGUCCCGCAACGAGCGCAACCCUUAUCCUUUGUUGCCAGCGGUCCGGCCGGGAACUCAAAGGAGACUGCCAGUGAUAAACUGGAGGAAGGUGGGGAUGACGUCAAGUCAUCAUGGCCCUUACGACCAGGGCUACACACGUGCUACAAUGGCGCAUACAAAGAGAAGCGACCUCGCGAGAGCAAGCGGACCUCAUAAAGUGCGUCGUAGUCCGGAUUGGAGUCUGCAACUCGACUCCAUGAAGUCGGAAUCGCUAGUAAUCGUGGAUCAGAAUGCCACGGUGAAUACGUUCCCGGGCCUUGUACACACCGCCCGUCACACCAUGGGAGUGGGUUGCAAAAGAAGUAGGUAGCUUAACCUUCGGGAGGGCGCUUACCACUUUGUGAUUCAUGACUGGGGUGAAGUCGAAACAAGGUA
rnacentral:rRNA from 1 species